rnacentral:rRNA from 1 species
GACGAACGCUGGCGGCGCGCCUAACACAUGCAAGUCGAACGAGAGAGAGGAAGCUUGCUUCCUUAAUCGAGUGGCGAACGGGUGAGUAACGCGUGAGGAACCUGCCUCAAAGAGGGGGACAACAGUUGGAAACGACUGCUAAUACCGCAUAAGCGCACAGUGCCGCAUGGCGCCGUGUGAAAAACUCCGGUGGUAUGAGAUGGACCCGCGUCUGAUUAGCUGGUUGGUGAGGUAACGGCCCACCAAGGCGACGAUCAGUAGCCGACCUGAGAGGGUGACCGGCCACAUUGGGACUGAGACACGGCCCAA